UUCAGUUCAACUUAUGUCUUCUUUGUACAAGAUUCAUAAAAAUAAUGCUCGUAACAAAUCCAACUAUCCUUAACUACCGGAAAAUAAUCCAUUCAGAUGGCACUUCUCUGGUUCUCGAUCAAGUGAUGUUCACACUAAACAUUUUUCAUCAGAUUUGUUUUAUGGAAAUCCGUUUCUUUUAGGACGCAAUGGAAUAUGAACGAAAAUGGUUCCUGAAGAUGGACGGAAACUUGUAAACAUUGGAAAAUUGUUUUUUUGCAUGGCCAGCUACGAUGUUGUUUUCUUUUAUGUGUAUAACAGUUUAUGCCAGUUUCUAUCAGUCAAGGGGUUCUAAAGUUGUAUUUCGUUAUUUGCUCAGGCUGGAGAAAAAAUCGUGCUGUUGAUCAACCCCUCGGUUAAAUCUAUUAUAAAAUCUUUUAUAAAAGUUGGAGCUCUCCACCGCUAGAGGCAGCACUGUAUAAAUCCCUCUUUUUGAAUCUCAAGUUCUACCGAUGUGGUUUCGUGGAUAGUGCAACACAAAAAGUUUUUUCGAAACCGAAACCAGCAGCUACCAGCAUAAUAUGUGCUGCUAUGCACCAACUAAGACUGAGGAACAACAACAAAAGACAGUUAUCAAUUUACCCAAAACCCCAAAAAUAACAAGAAAACAAACCGUUUUUAAUCCUUGAAAAAGGCAAUAAAUUUGCCGAAACGUCGGAAAUUGGAACAAUACAUUG